rnacentral:rRNA from 1 species
GACGAACGCUGGCGGCGCGCUUAACACAUGCAAGUCGAGCGAUGAAACUUUAACAGAACCCUUCGGGCGAAGAUAAAGUGGAUUAGCGGCGGACGGGUGAGUAACACGUGAGUAACCUGCCUUAAACAUUGGGAUAGCCUCGGGAAACCGGGAUUAAUACCAAAUAAAAUCAUAAUGACACAUGUCAUAAAGAUCAAAACUCCGGUGGUCUAAGAUGGACUUGCGUCCCAUUAGCUAGUUGGUAGAGUAAAAGCCUACCAAGGCGACGAUGGGUAGCCGGCCUGAGAGGGUGAACGGCCACAUUGGAACUGAGAAACGGUCCAAACUCCUACGGGAGGCAGCAGUGGGGAAUAUUGCACAAUGGAGGGAACUCUGAUGCAGCGACGCCGCGUGAACGAAGAAGGCUUUCGAGUCGUAAAGUUCUUUUAUAUGGGAAGAUAAUGACGGUACCAUAAGAAAAAGCCCCGGCUAACUACGUG